UACGUAGGGUGCAAGCGUUGUCCGGAAUUAUUGGGCGUAAAGAGCUCGUAGGCGGUUUGUCGCGUCGAAUGUGAAAACCCGGGGCUCAACCCCGGGCCUGCAUUCGAUACGGGCAGACUAGAGUUCGGUAGGGGAGUCUGGAAUUCCUGGUGUAGCGGUGAAAUGCGCAGAUAUCAGGAGGAACACCGAUGGCGAAGGCGGGUCUCUGGGCAUUAACUGACGCUGAGGAGCGAAAGCAUGGGGAGCGAACAGG
rnacentral:rRNA from 1 species